GGGAAUAUAGCUCAGUUAGGUAGAGCAAUCGGCUGUUAACCGAUUUGACACAGGUUCAAAUCCUGUUAUUCCCG
rnacentral:tRNA from 1 species